AAUUGUUCAAUAGGAGUAACCUGAGAUCAUAUGUACGAUAUUUUUUGUUUUUAUAAUUUAAUGUGAUACAUAUGUUCUCAGGUCGCCCCUGUAGAACUAUU
rfam:Nicotiana attenuata strain TT chromosome 10, whole genome shotgun sequence.